UUCUUUGUGGUCAACACAAAGUCUGUACUUUCUUUAGUGUUCAACAAAUUGAAGUAUUUAUGGUAUUUCCAAUGACACGACUACCACAAAAGCCACAAAAGCGUAAUGGUGAGUUACUUGAAUGUGAUAAUAGGUGAAUGAUAAUGAUGAUUUUGAUAGAGUAGGUCAUUCUCAUGAAGAAUUUGACUGGAAUGUGUGGGGGCCGGAUUCGACACAACAACAACAAGCUGUCAGAAUGUCAUGCACAAUAUGUUUCUGUUUGUCCGCAAUUGUCAUGAAGAUGUCAAGAGAUCACCAGUAACGAGCUCAUAAUGAUCUGAAUAUGAUGUAGGCCUAUAAUUAAGAAGUGUUCCGCCACCGUCAUGAAGAUGCCAAGAGACCACCAGUAACAAGCUCAUAAAGAUCUGAGUAUGAUGUAGGCCUAUAAAUAAAAAGUGGUAUUAACAACUGCAUCUCCCAAGGAACCAUGUCAUCCAUCCAUGAAGCAGCACCUAAGUCAACAGUGCCUGUUUUGUAAGCAAGGCCUGAAUGAAUGAAGCCAGGCCUGAAUGAAAGAACCCAGGAAGAUUCAAGCUUCAAGCUUCGCUGAAUGGAGCGCUGACACCUGUUGCAGCCUUGGAAUUUUCAACAUAUGAACAUGAACAUGAACACAACUGAUGUUUCUAUCAAAUUAUUUAUUAUUAGGCUACUGUAAAAUAACGCGUGGUAAAUUUAUUGAUUUUAUCAGCCCAACAAUGCAACAUGGCAUGUUUAACAAAAAGCAUUCAUUUUUGCUCAAGUUUUUGCAAUUUUGCCCAAAAUUUCAACAAAGCUUUAUACCUUGCGCAUUUUCAAAAUUUUGCUUGAAUUUUGCCCAAGGCUGCUUUACGUAUUUAUCAAAUUUUGCUCAAAUUUUGCCCAAAAAUGCAGCAAGGCUAUAUAAAUAUAGCCUUGCGUAUUUAUCUUAUUUUGCCCGUAAAUUCAACAGGGCUUUAUUUUGCUCUAAUUUUGCCCAAAAGUGCAACAAUGCAAUUUCCUUGCGUAUUUAUCAAAUUUUGCACAAAUUUUGCGUGAAAAUG